AGCUGGAGCUGCGCGUUGCUCUCGCUCGGAAGAGCUCCGCAGUUCCCAAAUCUUACUCUUCACUUGGUUCCUUGUCUUAUUUUUUAAUACUCGAUUGGGGGGCGGGCGGGACUUUUCUCUCCUAUCCUUCACUGAGAGGUUUGGUGGGGAUUUACCCCCCAUUAAACAGCCAAAGAGAGGCGUUCGCAGUUUUGCAAAUUGAGUACAUUUCUUUCUCCAUGCAGAAACCUUUCAGGGUUCUCCAGCAAGAGGAAAGCCAACGAAAAGAUUUCCCUGCUUUGUAGCAAAGUGCAAUGAAGUACCGAGCCAAUUCCAACAUUCAGCUUCAUUGGAUGGCUGUGGGUUCUAAUAUUACAAAGAGUGUGAGAGAGCCUGCUCCGUGUCCACUUUCUUCAUCCUCUGAAUGGUCUUCUUCCUGGUCUUCUUACCCCAGAUGUUUACUUGGAAGUAGGGUCCUCUUUCUUCACUGAGACAUAUGCCACUUAAUGUGAAGAUAUAACAGGCUUUCUCUGGUGGUUUAAUUAUAGACUGGCAGCCCCUCUUCAUGGCUUUACUUCGUUGGGGAGCGGACUAGUCUGUUAACAGGAAGAACCUCUGAUACGAAUUUGAGUCAGCACACUUCCAAGAACUGCUUUCAAGGUACAGGAAGCAGGAAAGGAAAAUGAGGGUAAAGGAAGCGGUAGUCUUUCAUGCAAGCAGCUCCAGAUCCUUUCCUGGUUUGAAGCAACAUACACUUUUUUUAUAAAAAGAAGAAGAAGUUGUUUGCUCUUCUUUGCAAAUCUAGUACCUAUAUCUUCAGAGCAAGAAUUACAUUUUAAAAGGUAUGGACAAACUACUUGGAGCAACACACACAUUUUAAACUUGCUUUUACUGCUGUUUAGUGCAAAUCUGGCAUAUUAUGCAUUAGGUUGUUUUUUAGUCUUGGGUCUAUCUGUUUUUAAUGCUUGUCGGUCAUUUUGAGUUCAUUUUUUUAAAGUGACACAAUAAUAGUAUAAAUGUGGGCCCACUAGUUCAUUUAUUACUGUUUCAGAAGCAAUCUGUGCCUUUUGUCUCCAGCACCUGCAGUUGGAAGUUUUAAAGGCACUGAAAAUAAGUUUUAAUAAAGUAUUUUAUUGUUUAGUUCUUUAUACCAUGAGACGUUAAGAAAAAAGUUUGAUGGUUCUUGGAAAUGCAGAGAAAUUAUUCUGAAAUGUGUGUUACAAUUCCAAAGGAUAGUGGAAACUUCAAAUUCUGCCAAAAGCUGGGAGUGGGGCAGUUACGAGCUAUUUUGGUACAAUUCAUAACUAUGAUUAGUCAUGCCAGAACACUGAAGGCAACCAUGUUGAAAUAACCAUUCUUUGCUGCCAUUUGCUGCAAGAGACUAACAUGGCUCCUUUCACCAGCCUGGUACCCUUCAGAUAUUUUUGACUUAAACUCCAAUUGUCCCCAGUCAUCUGAAGGGCACCAGGUUUGCAAAGCAAGUGUGGACUUCUGAGGUAGGGAAAUAAACUACAUACAGUGGUACCUUGGUUUACAAACACAAUUGGUUCCGGGAGUCUGUACUUAACCUGAAGCGAACUUUCCCAUUGAAAGUAAUGGAAAGUGGAUUAAUCCGUUCCAGACAGGUUCGCGGAGUACUUAAACUGAAAAUACUCAAACCGAGACGUACUUAAACCGAGGUAUGACUGUACUAGUGACUACAUACUAGUGCUCCCCAACUUUCUACUUGUUUGAUUUUUACAGUGGUAUUUAGAUACAGCCGCUUCUGUCUUCCAUAUGCCAUUGCUUACCUUAAAUUCACCCCUUUUGCCCAAGGCCCCCAAACUUACCCUCUCAUUGUGUGUGUGUGUGUGCGUGUGUGUUGCAGGACUGAAU